rnacentral:rRNA from 1 species
AGUGAACACUGGCGGUAGGCCUAACACAUGCAAGUCGAACGGCAGCACAGUAAGAGCUUGCUCUUACGGGUGGCGAGUGGCGGACGGGUGAGGAAUACAUCGGAAUCUACUUUUUCGUGGGGGAUAACGUAGGGAAACUUACGCUAAUACCGCAUACGACCUACGGGUGAAAGCAGGGGAUCUUCGGACCCUGCGCGAUUGAAUGAGCCGAUGUCGGAUUAGCUAGUUGGCGGGGUAAAGGCCCACCAAGGCGACGAUCCGUAGCUGGUCUGAGAGGAUGAUCAGCCACACUGGAACUGAGACACGGUCCAGACUCCUACGGGAGGCAGCAGUGGGGAAUAUUGGACAAUGGGCGCAAGCCUGAUCCAGCCAUACCGCGUGGGUGAAGAAGGCCUUCGGGUUGUAAAGCCCUUUUGUUGGGAAAGAAAAGCAGCAGGUUAAUACCCCGCUGUUCUGACGGUACCCAAAGAAUAAGCACCGGCUAACUUCGUG